GAAAAGGAUAAAUAAAAAGAUAAAUAAAAUUAUAUUUAUUGUAAUUAAACUAGAAUAUGUUGUAUGAGAAGUGCUCAGUAUUUGUGCAAAGUAUAUUUAAAUCAUGCAAAAUGCAUUAAUAAUAAUACAUUUAUAAUAUUAUAUUUUAAUUUAAUAUUUAAUAUUAUAUUUUAAGUUAAGUUAUAAUUAUUAUAUAUUAUUAUUAUUAUUAUUAUUAUUAUUAUUAUUAUUAUUAUUAUUAUUAUUAUUAAAGACUAAAGAGCUUUUAGCCGGCAUCUCAUGUUGCAUCGGCCAGGAUGAGGUAAGUGUGUAAAAGAUUGAGGCUAUCGGUCUGAAUAAGCCAAACACAGUUAAACUAGAGCAUCCUCCACACACGGCCUCUGGCUCGAUGCGUUGGAAGGGGAUGUUUUUUCGGGGUUUCAGUCUGCUCCCUCCUCCGCCUUUCACAGCUUAUAAAGGCGCGGCGUUUCUUCUCAAGGCAGUUGAAGUCAAUCCGUCCGUCAGUCGGUAUGGACUCAAAGGAUGCUCAAGAGAGUUUAGAGAGCGGCGGCGGUGGCGCGCGCUGUCGCUGUAGCAACGGGCGGAGGUCCGCGGCGGCGGUGUUCGUCAUCCAGAGUUUAUUAACGGCCGCUUGUGCCGCCUUCAGCCUCAACGUCUUCCUCAACCAGCAGCACCAUCAGCAGCAACCGGAGUCAACAAAGGACAGAGGGAUAUUCAUGCAAAUAGGAGGCACAGAGUUAGGUGAGCUGAAAUUCAUGGCGCUCUGGAACCACAGUGUUGAUCUAAACAAUGAGAAGACGGUGAAGCUGUCCUGUGCCGGACCGUACAUUGUCUAUCUGUGGGCAUGUGUGAACAGCUACAACACUGACACAGUUGUCAACCUGACAUUGGAACAGGGGAAUCAAUCCUUCCACCUGCAGACCCUGCAAAAAAAAGAGUGCAAGGAGAUGCAAGGAGUUUUCAUGCUCUCUAAUAGAAACGAAGUCACGUUGAAAGUCAGUCACAUCAAAGACACCUUCAAGAUCGAAGACCUCUUCUUAGGCCUGCACUACAUGCUAGGAGCACAGUGCUUCCAUCAUCCACUUCUUGAUGAAAAAUAGAAACAAUUUUUGGAUAUAAAGCUUUUUAAGGUGCUCGUUCUUCAGAAGAGCUGUUUAAAUGAUAAAACUAUGACAUGACCCUCAGUGUGAGUUACCAUUUAGAAAUAUCUCUUGUUUUCCCCGAUUUGAAACUUUCCUGUGUUUGAAGUAUAAUGAUGAUGCCAUAGUCAGACUUUUCCUGGACCAAAAGUAUAACCAUGAAGCUAAAGAAGAAGAUUCAGAGAGCUGCAAAGACAUUUUUUAUUUUAUUUUUUUCGUAGUGGAAGAGUGUGUUAUUUUUCCACACUGUACUGAAGCGUCCUGGCUCUUCAAGACGGACUAGUUGUGAAACACCUACUGCAUCACAGUGGAAGUGGGCGAUGACGUGGUAUCAACCGUAAUGGCACUAUGUCAGGUCAAAGAGAUCACAACUCACCACAAUUUGGAUUAGUGGCGGUUCCAUAAGCUCAUUGAAUGUAUUGAUACUCUGUGGAUGAAAGAGAAUUUAUAUGAAGUAACCAAUUGCAGAAAUUUUUUCAAGCUACUUCUGAUCAAUGUACAUAGUACUGUAAUUUGAGCAGAAAUUAUUAGAACACCCUCAGAUAUUGUCCUUUUACAGUGUUCAAAUAGUGACAUAGCAAUAAUGUUCUCAAUGUUUGUCAUUAUCAUUAUAUUUAUGUAAAAACUGAAAGAAAACCCCAUGUAUGAAAGGAAAUACCAAAGGGUGACAUUUCUAUUUUAGUUUAGGCUUUGGAACAGAUAUAGAAAUUAAGGUUGUUUUUUAAGAUUUUUUAAUGAUCUAAAACAGUUUAAUUUUGUAAACUGUAUGUGAUUGAAUGUUUGAUGAUUUAUUUAAAUCAGAGUCAUUGGAUAAUGUAAGGAUUUAAUCCACGCUGUUAGAAACUUUUGAUAGUGUGCUUUCCUUUCAAGAGUACAUGUUGGAAAAUGUAUUUAUUGAAAUUAAAUUAAAGUAUGUUUUUUAUUUAAUCAGACCACUAUUAUUGUGAUGGCGAAGAAAAGCACUAAAGACCUCAAAAGCAAAACCAAACAAAUCUUGUAUCAUCCACAUCGCAUCCAUUCACUCAUCACAUAAACAAAUUACAAAUCUUAAUUACAUUUUCAUCUAUUUUUAGUUUAUCAAGCAUGAUCUUAAAUGUCUAACCUGCUCAAUCAAACCCCUGCUGCAAAUUCUCUAGCUAUGCUUUAUUUAUACAGCAAAGUUUGCACUUUUAUAUCAUAAAUAUUAUUAUAAACAUCAAUAAAAAUGCAAUAUGCUGAAAUAUUUAAGUCGUU
ensembl:lncRNA